GUAUUUACCUGGACUGGGUCAACUCUUGAUCAAGAAGACCAGUGGCCUAACCUCCAUUGCACAUAAGGGAGGGGUGUUUAGCUUAAGGUCUCCCCAAGUGGGAGAACCUACGACAUUAUUUGUGGCAGUGGUGGUCUGCAUUCGCGCUGCUCCUC